UACGGGGGGGGUAAGCGUUGUUCGGAAUUACUGGGCGUAAAGGGCUCGUAGGCGGCCAACUAAGUCAUACGUGAAAUCCCUCAGCUUAACUGGGGAACUGCGUGUGAUACUGGAUGGCUUGGAUUUGGGAGAGGGAUGCGGAAUUCCAGGUGUAGCGGUGAAAUGCGUAGAUAUCCGGAGGAACACCGAUGGCGAAGGCAGCCUCCUGGCCUCUGACUGACGCUGAGACGCGAAAGCGUGGGGAGCAAACAGG
rnacentral:rRNA from 1 species